rnacentral:rRNA from 1 species
AUUGAACGCUGGCGGCAUGCCUUACACAUGCAAGUCGAACGGCAGCAUGGGUGCUUGCACCUGAUGGCGAGUGGCGAACGGGUGAGUAAUGCAUCGGAACGUACCCGGAAGUGGGGGAUAACGUAGCGAAAGUUACGCUAAUACCGCAUAUUCUGUGAGCAGGAAAGCAGGGGACCUUCGGGCCUUGCGCUUUCGGAGCGGCCGAUGUCGGAUUAGCUAGGUGGUGGGGUAAAGGCCUACCAAGGCAACGAUCUGUAGCUGGUCUGAGAGGAUGAUCAGCCACACUGGGACUGAGACACGGCGCAGACUCCUACGGGAGGCAGCAGUGGGUAAUUUUGGACAAUGGGGGCAACCCUGACUCAGCCAUUCCGCGUGAGUGAAGAAGGCCUUCGGGUUGUAAAGCUCUUUCGGCAGGAACGAAACGGCGAGCUCUAACAUAGCUUGCUAAUGACGGUACCUGAAGAAGAAGCACCGGCUAACUACGUGCCAGCAGCCGCCGUAA